ACACGGAGGGCGCAAGCGUUGCUCGGAAUCACUGGGCGUAAAGCGGGUGUAGGCGGUCUAGCAAGUCAGAUGUGAAAGCCCACGGCUCAACAGUGGAAGUGCAUCUGAAACUGCUAGACUUGAGUGCCGGAGAGGGAAGAGGAAUUCCUGGUGUAGGGGUGAAAUCCGUAGAUAUCAGGAGGAACACCGGUGGCGAAGGCGACUUCCUGGACGGCCACUGACGCUGAGACCCGAAAGCGUGGGGAGCAAACAGGAUUAGAUACCCUAGUAGUCC
rnacentral:rRNA from 1 species